GAUGAACGCUGGCGGCGUGCCUAAUACAUGCAAGUCGAGCGAACAGACGAGGAGCUUGCUCCUUUGACGUUAGCGGCGGACGGGUGAGUAACACGUGGAUAACCUACCUAUAAGACUGGGAUAACUUCGGGAAACCGGAGCUAAUACCGGAUAACAUGUUGAACCGCAUGGUUCAACAGUGAAAGACGGUCUUGCUGUCACUUAUAGAUGGAUCCGCGCCGCAUUAGCUAGUUGGUAAGGUAACGGCUUACCAAGGCAACGAUGCGUAGCCGACCUGAGAGGGUGAUCGGCCACACUGGAACUGAGACACGGUCCAGACUCCUACGGGAGGCAGCAGUAGGGAAUCUUCCGCAAUGGGCGAAAGCCUGACGGAGCAACGCCGCGUGAGUGAAGAAGGUCUGCGGAUCGUAAAACUCUGUUAUUAGGGAAGAACAAAUGUGUAAGUAACGAUGCACGUCUUGACGGUACCUAAGCAGAAAGCCACGGCUAACUACGU
rnacentral:rRNA from 1 species